rnacentral:rRNA from 1 species
UACGUAGGGAGCAAGCGUUGUCCGGAAUCAUUGGGCGUAAAGCGCGCGUAGGCGGCCCUGUAAGUCCGUUGUGAAAGUCAAAGGCUCAACCUUUGAAAGCCGAUGGAUACUGCAGGGCUAGAGUCCGGAAGAGGCGAGUGGAAUUCCUGGUGUAGCGGUGGAAUGCGCAGAUAUCAGGAGGAACACCAGUAGCGAAGGCAGCUCGCUGGGACGGUACUGACGCUAAGGCGCGAAAGCCAGGGGAGCAAACGGG